rnacentral:tRNA from 2 species
GGGGCUGUGGCUCAGCUGGGAGAGCGCUUCGUUCGCAUCGAAGAGGUCGGGGGUUCGAAUCCCCCCAGCUCCA